ACGUUUGUUUUUAAAAGGAAUGCGCCCUCCGCUCUACCUAAAUGUGUCUAUAAGUUCACACGAAUCACUCGUGAUCCAGCUUCACCUACAGAAGAAAACAACUUCCUCCACAGCAACCAGGUUGUUUCAGAAGUGGACAUUCACCCGAGACUGCUUUGCUCUCAGUUGUUGAAGCCCUAAGACUGGCAAGAGCAGAUUUCAAAUCUUCAAUACUUAUCUUGCUGGAUCUGUCCGCUGCUUUUGACAUGGUUAACCACCAGAUCCUCCGGUCAACCCUAUUGGCAAAGGGCAUCUCAGGAACCGCACUCCAGUGGUUUGAGUCUGAUCAGAUAGGUCCUUCAGUGUGUCUUGGAGAGGUGAGGUGUCCAAGUCGCAACAUCUACUGUAACUACUGGGGUGCCUCAGGGCUCAGUUCUUGGACCAUUUCUCUUCUCUGUCCACAUGGCAUCACUAGGUUCUGUCAUUUAGAAAAAUGGCUUUUCAUAUCACUGCUAUGCUGAUGACACUCAAGUCUACCUCUAAUCCCAUGCUGAUGAUCAUACGAAAGCUGCUCAAAUCUCAGCUUCUCUAACAGACAUUUCUUGCUGAAUGAAAGACCAUCACCUUCAACUCAACCUUGCCAAGACAGAUCUGCUUGUGGUUCCACCAAACCCAUCAUUUCAUCACAAGUUCACUAUCCAUUUAGGCACAUCAACCAUAACUCCUUCAAAAACAGCCAGAAACCUUAGAGUUAUGAUUGAUGAUCAGCUGACUUUCUCAGACCACAGACUUGCCCCUUGUAGACUUGCACUCUAUUC
ensembl:lncRNA